rnacentral:rRNA from 1 species
GACGAACGCUGGCGGCGUGCUUAACACAUGCAAGUCGAACGGAAAGGCCCUGCUUUUGUGGGGUGCUCGAGUGGCGAACGGGUGAGUAACACGUGAGUAACCUGCCCUUGACUUUGGGAUAACUUCAGGAAACUGGGGCUAAUACAGGACAGGAGCUCCUGUUGCAUGGUGGGGGUGGGAAAGUUUCGGCGGUCGGGGAUGGACUCGCGGCUUAUCAGCUUGUUGGUGGGGUAGUGGCUGACCAAGGCUUUGACGGGUAGCCGGCCUGGGAGGGUGACCGGCCACAUUGGGACUGAGAUACGGCCCAGACUCCUACGGGAGGCAGCAGUGGGGAAUAUUGCACAAUGGGCGGAAGCCUGAUGCAGCAACGCCGCGUGCGGGAUGACGGCCUUCGGGUUGUGAACCGCUUUCGCCUGUGACGAAGCGUGAGUGACGGUAAUGGGUAAAGAAGCACCGGCUAACUACGUG